GUACUAUUAUUAUUAUCUGUGAUUAUAAAUGAUGUAUAACUCAUUCUUAUAUUUGACUAUAUUUUAUGACAGUAUUUUCACCUAACAUCAUUCUCUUUGUCUUAUUAUGUUUCAGACCGGAAUGGGUAGCCCGGGUGCAACUGGUAACACAGGGGUGGGCUGGGUAGGGUCGAGUGCAACAGGGCAAGGUAACAGGGGGUCAGCUGCUGGAACAGGUGUGAUGGCAGGAAUAGGUGGGUGGGGCGCAUCUGCAUCUGCAACAGGAAACAGCAAUACAGUGUUUGGCAACACAGGAACGGGCAGGGCAGGGUCAAGUGCAACAGGAGUGGGUACUAGGGGAUCAGGAGGGACAGGACUGAGUGGUGCCGGGUCACCAUCAGGUGUUGCAAAGAAAAUCGGACCAGGCUUGGAUAGCGCCAAUGGUUACAGUUUAGCAAAUAUCAAUCAAUACUUACGCGAGCUGCAGCAGUAUUCCAAACCCAACUCCGGCUCAGAGUGAGUUCAAACCCCCUGUACAGCAAAGUGACCCGUAAAUAAAUGUGCUUGUGCCAAAAAUUACCAUGUUUCCUAGACCUUUUAAUUCAACAUGGCUGAGAGAACAUUUAGUGAUAACAUUCAAAUGUGAUCUGCUGCCUGCAGUAGACACAAUGAACUGAACAAGUAUUUCUAUUGUUUCUUCUUGUCUGCAGAGUAUCUGGGUAAUCCAUGGAAUCUCAGAGGAAAAUGGAGAAGGAAUGGGACCCUCUACUAUAAAACCCAGUCUCCUCAUAUUGACUUAUGGUAUGUUAAUACACUGAGUGUACAAAACAUUAAGGACACCUGCUCUUUCCAUGACACAGACUGACCAGGUGAAUCCAGGUGAAAGCUAUGAUCCCUUAUUGAUGUCACUUGUUAAAUCCACUUCAAUCAGUGUAGAUGAAGGGGAGGAGACAGGUUAAAUAAGGAUUUUUAAGCCUUGAGACAAAUGAGACAUGGAUUGUGUAUGCGUGCCAUUCAGAGGGUGAAGGGGCAAAACAAAAGAUGUAAGUGCCUUUGAACGGGGUACGGUAGUAGGUACCAGUUUGUGUCAACAACUGCAACGCUUCUGGGUUACUCACCCUCAACAGUUUCCUGUGUGCAUCAAGAAUGGUCCACCCCCCAAGGACAUCCAGCCAAUUUGACAGAACUGUGGGAAGCAUUGGAGUCAACAUGGGCCAGCAUCCCCCUGUGGAAUGCUUUCUACACCUUAUAGAGUCAAAGCCCCAAAGAAUUGAGACUGGGGGUGCAACUCAGUGUUAGGAAGGUGUCCUUAAUGUUUUGUACAUCCCGUGUAUGUAUAAUAUAAUUUCUAUCAGCAGCAGCUGCAGCUGCAUUGUAAUAUAUCAUAAAAGAAGAUCUGUUGCUAUUGUGACAUGUAUUACAUUUUUGCACUUUUUGGGGGCUUGAAUGUCAUUGGUAAACAAAUACGAAUGUAUAUUAUUUGAAUAUGUUGAUUUAGUCAGGAAAAAGGCAUGAAAGUCAUAAAUAAUCUGUUUUGAAUGUACUAUACAUACUUUUAUUAAAACAAAAGGGUAGUUAUUGUAACUCCUGUUCUAUGAAUGAUGUGUGAUGACCUCAAUGUUUAAGGCCCUACUUUGAAUUUCAC
ensembl:lncRNA